rnacentral:tRNA from 1 species
CCGGGCGUUCCACAGAUGGCUAAAUGGGCUUGCCUUGGGCGCAAGUGUUCGCCGGCUCGAAUCCCGCUGCCCGGACCA